rnacentral:rRNA from 1 species
UUGGAGGGCAAGUCUGGUGCCAGCAGCCGCGGUAAUUCCAGCUCCAAUAGCGUAUAUUAAAGUUGUUGCAGUUAAAAAGCUCGUAGUUGAAUUUCGAGAUCAGUACGCUGGUCGUGCCUUCGGUAUGCACUGGUGUCACUGGUUUCUCCCUUCUGAAGAACCGUCAUGUCAUUAAGUUGGUGUGGCGGGGAAUCAGGACUGUUACUUUGAAAAAAUUAGAGUGUUUAAAGCAGGCUCGCGCUUGAAUACAUUAGCAUGGAAUAAUGAAAUAGGACGUUUGACCCUAUUUUGUUGGUUUCUAGGAUCGACGUAAUGAUUAAUAGGGAUAGUUGGGGGCAUUAGUAUUCAAUUGUCAGAGGUGAAAUUCUUGGAUUUAUUGAAGACUAACUACUGCGAAAGCAUUUGCCAAGGAUGUUUUCAUUAAUCAAGAACGAAAGUUAGGGGAUCGAAGACGAUCAGAUACCGUCGUAGUCUUAACCAUAAACUAUGCCGACCAGGGAUCGGAUGAUGUUAAUUUUUUAAUGACUCAUUCGGCGCCUUACGGGAAAC